rnacentral:rRNA from 1 species
GCGAGCGUUAAUCGGAAUUACUGGGCGUAAAGACGCAUGCAGGCGGCCUGUUAAGUUCAGAUGUGAAAGACCCGGGGCGUUAACCUUCCGGAAUUAGCAUUUGUAAACUAGGCAGGCUAGAGUCUUGUAGAGGGGGGUAGGGAAUUUCUAGGUGUAGCGGUGAAAUAGCGUAGAGAUCUGAAGGAAUACCAGUGGCGAAGGCGGCCCCCUCGGACAAAGACUGACGCUCAGAUGCGAAAGCGUGGGGAGCAAACAGGAUUAGAUACCCUGGUAG